CUUAUUGGGUCAGGGUCACGUCUGUCAAGGCAAGACCAACGGAAUGUGAGUCGUGUUCCGGAUUAGGAGGGGCCGCCUGAAACGUCAAGAUCUGGGGCAAGCGCUCGUCCUGACUCGCGCAGGCGCAGUUGAGGCAAGACCUGCGUGCCUAGGGCUUUAACCCCAACAGUGGCAUAGACGUAUAAAGCAGAACACAGGUCAUUUGGGGCUGACCUUAGGGCUUUGGCAUCUGGGCGGAGAAAUCCUUAAGUACCCUUUUUGGGCCAGUGCCCUAAGCACCCUUUUAUGAUUUUCCCGUGUCUCAGUUUUUACCAUCUUUGAAAUGGGUUGGAAUCAGAACCAAUGAUCGGCGAUGUUCACCAGCUCUAGGAGACUGUAGUUCAUAGCCUUUGAGGACAGCGGGUCUCUGGUGUGGCGGGGGCUGGGGGACUGGGCCUAGGAGGGGCGGCCUGCUGUCUGGGAGGCUUCCUUUAGGAAUGGGGUUGAUUAGGACUAUGAAAAACUAGUCACAGGUGGCCAGGUGAAGAGGGAAGUGCGGACCUGGAAGGGAGCACGAUGCCAGUCAAUGUGUGGAGGUAUUGUGGGGUAAACACAAAUUUUUAAAGAUCGAAUUUUCCCUGGUGUCAAAAGAGAAAGACGUCUCUCUUAGAGCAUUUCCUUUAGAAAACUUGUAACUGUAAAAUUUUCUCUGUCCCUUUGAGAUGUAUGUAAGUCCUUUUAAAAGCUAAAUCUCUUGCCAGUUUUACAUCCCCGGAAUGUUUUUCUUAAGAGCCUUGUAGCCAUCUCUUUGAAAUGUAAACAUCAAUGAAAAUAGCACCCCUGUCUUUCCCUGUCUUCGUGGGAAUUUGAUCUGCGUGCCUGGCUUCAAG
rnacentral:lncRNA from 1 species